UCAGGGAUGGCCGGGCCGCGAUCGGGGCCGGCAGCGCUGGCUCGGGGUCGGAUCGGUGGAAACCGCCCGGGGCUGGACAUUUCUGCGGGGAGGGAGCGGCGUGUAUCGAGUACACGGCCGGGGGUUGCCUCCCCUCUCUCUAAAGUUGGCUUUACGUCCAGGUCUCCCAGCGCCAAGUGCUCGAGCUGGAAGGUUGUCGUGACUGACACGGCUGCUGCUGCCCACGCCCUGGAGGUUAAAUGCUGAGCCCGGCUGUGUAUGAGGGCCCGAUUCGUUCCUGCACCGGGUCCCUUGGGAGCAGAUGUGAUGGGGCAGCCACUCCAGCGAUGUUGUUGGCACACUGAGCCAGCCCCGCCUGCAGCGACACACGCAGCACUCAGGCAAGAGUAUAUCCAGUUCGGAAAUAGCUAGAAGAAACAGACCAUAGAAGUCCCAUGAGCCAAGAGACUAGCACACUGCAACAUAACGAAAUGCUGACUACAGAUUGUUUAUAAUAGAAAUGCUUAAAGAUACAGAACUAGACAGCUUUCUAGCCAUCACAAGAAAUACUUUCUAGGCUACUGUUUAACAGAACGCUGCUUUCUUUUCAGCACAAAGUAACUGACACCAGCUUUGUAACGUGUUAGUCCCGGUGUUCCCUGCAGCAGAAUUCACGCAUACCUAAGUACUGGAGCAGUCACAGUGAAGUAAGCCUGUGCAAUUGCUUAAUCUGUGCAUCAGUAUUUGAAGGAUCAGAACCUAGAUUUGGGAGAAAGCUGCAUCUUGUCUGGAAGAAUUACCUGUGCAAUUACUUUAAGCGUCUCUUGACACCUAUUCAUAUUUCUGAAUAUAGACUCUCCUGCAGAUUCAACUGUAGUUAUUUUCAUCAUUUCCUUUUCAGAACUGACAGUGCAGAUACUAUCAUUACCUUCAUCAUUAAAGCAGUAGUUACACAAGUA